rnacentral:pre_miRNA from 1 species
UUCCAUAAAAAAGCGCCUAGGGUUUUGUGACCGUUGUUACGGUCAAUUCAUGUCUGACACAAUGACCGUAAUCCCGUUCACAACACCUUGUGUGGCUUGAAUAAUGAAAUU